GAUGAACGCUGGCGGCGUGCCUAAUACAUGCAAGUCGAGCGAACAGACGAGGAGCUUGCUCCUCUGACGUUAGCGGCGGACGGGUGAGUAACACGUGGAUAACCUACCUAUAAGACUGGGAUAACUUCGGGAAACCGGAGCUAAUACCGGAUAAUAUAUUGAACCGCAUGGUUCAAUAGUGAAAGACGGUUUUGCUGUCACUUAUAGAUGGAUCCGCGCCGCAUUAGCUAGUUGGUAAGGUAACGGCUUACCAAGGCAACGAUGCGUAGCCGACCUGAGAGGGUGAUCGGCCACACUGGAACUGAGACACGGUCCAGACUCCGACGGGAGGCAGCAGUAGGGAAUCUUCCGCAAUGGGCGAAAGCCUGACGGAGCAACGCCGCGUGAGUGAUGAAGGUCUUCGGAUCGUAAAACUCUGUUGUUAGGGAAGAACAAAUGUGUAAGUAACUAUGCACGUCUUGACGGUACCUAAUCAGAAAGCCACGGCUAACUACG
rnacentral:rRNA from 1 species